AUGAGGUCUUUCACUGUAACAAGUAAGCAUCAAUGUCUUUUCCCUUUCAGUUCAUUUUUAAAUUACACUGAGUCAUUUUAUAAAGAUUUUUUAAAAUAUUUAUCUAUGAAAGAACAACCCAAGAGAAUUUUUGGUGAAAGAACUGGGAGGGUGGGCAGAAAUGGUAUUUCAAUGUUUCCCAAGACAGUUAUAAAGAUUCAGCUGUAAUUUACAUGACGGAUGUCCAAUUGCUCACAAUUUCCUAAACAACUACAAAAUGGUAGCAAAUUGUAACAUAUUUUGUGAUAAUUGAUACCUAUUAAAAUUGUGUAUGGAGUCCAAGGUGAUCUACCUUCUUCAAAAGUCAUGAUAAUGAGGCUCAACACCUCAUAAUUCAGAGGAAGUUCUGAGUACCCAUCACAUCUUCGGAGAGACUGGAACCCAGUAUUGGCUCCACGUUAUCAAGAUGCCUAGCUGAUUCUUAGUCCUCAUUCCCAACUCUACUUUCAGGCAUGGUUUGAGCCAUUAAACAAAGCACUUAAUUUUAUCUUCCACAUGAAAACUUUAAUUCAAGCAACAAACAUAUUAAGAAGCUAUUUCCUACAAAAAAAAAAAACUAAAACAAUAAUUCUCAACAGAUCAAGAAAAAAGCAGAUGACAAAGAACAGUCUAAUCUAGGAAAAAAAGCAAAAACAGUGCUUUUCAAAUAUUUCUAAUAGGAAAAUUAAUUUCAUAUUCCUCUAACCAUCUACUGGAAUUAAACUUUUAAAUAAUCCUCUAACAGAAGUCCAUUUUCUGCAUCCAUCUGCAGCUAAGAAUGAGAAGUAAAAUACAGAUAUUACUUGAAGUAACUGAGAAAUGUUUAAAAUGAAAAUCAUAGCAUGUAGCAAAAUCAAGAAAAUGCAUAAAUAAAUAUACCAGUGUAGUUAAUGUUUCUUACCCUAAACAUUUUUUUUGUCAAAUGUAACACAUUGUUGAACACUGUGGCAAGUGCACUUUCUUAUGAACUGAUGCUAUUGUCACAGAGGGAAAUUUCUCCAAAAUGAAAAAGCACCAACCUAAAUUCAUUAAAAUAACUGAUAUUCAUGGUUUGGAAAGUUGCUCGUGUCAAGAUUUUACAACAGAGUAAAAAUUUAAGCUUCUGAAUGAAAACCAUUUACAUUAGUUAAGGCACAUCUAGAUACCUCCAGGCAAUCGUAUUUAUAACUAUAUUAUUAUUAACUUCAGUAAUAAGGGAUUCCUAAAAACACCGUCUGUCCCUGAACACAAUCUGCUGGGUGGGCUGGAUAACUAGAACAGGGAAGGAGGCAGGGUAGUACUCAUUGUCACCCUAGAGAUUACCCACACAGAUCUGUUCAUGUAAUAAACACUCCAGAAUUCAAAGUUGAAAGAAGUCAAUAUAUAUGUAACUCCUAAUUUUCAAGAUCCUACAUUGGCCCUCUUGUCAUUCUCAACACCCACACCUGCAUUGAAAUGAUUCUAGCACGCCUAACUCCAACCUACCUUGUAUUUAACACAUAUACCCCAAAAGACAAAGGAGAAUUCUCUAAGUGAGAAACAAAUUAGAAAUCUUCAAAACCAUUCCUAACACAAAGAAUCUCCACUCAGCCCAAAUAGACACAAAAGACCCAUAGACGAAGAUACAUUCAAGUAAGAUCAAGAAGGUCCUUCUUUUCUCAGGUUAGAAAAUAAAGCUUUUAGAAGAGCCUUACUUAUAGAAAGACAAAAACCUGGUUGAUUUAGUUACUUGACAGAGUAUGAACUCAAUCAUAACUCUAUUUUAAACUUUGGAAAUUUAAACAAUUAACCAAAUAGUCUCUAUCAGUUCAACCAGUUUUUGACCACUUGAUAUGGAAAUUUACCUACUAAAGUGUUUUUUUUAAAGAAUAACUCAGAACAUUGCACUGUUUUUCCUUUUUCACCAGAUCAUAUUUUCACUCAUAUUAAAGCAUAAAAGCUAGAAGCAAAAUAGGUAGUUUUAUACAAAAUGUGAAACAUAAUGACUAUGAUAGGUAUUAAAUGACAUUUUCAUAUGUUUAAAUUUUUAAUACUUAGCAAAAAAAUCUUAGAACUUCUCUAAUAACUCCUGAGUUGUACACUUCAUUUCCUACUUGAAGCUUACAAAGUGGUCUAAAAACCUAAAUUCAAAAUAAAACUUUACAAAAUAAUUUUUGAACUGAGAACUAGACCUGAUUUACAGAAAUCAGACACAUUUCACUUCUAUCAUGAUUCUUUUUAGUUUCUUAUGAGAUUGAGCAUGAAAUUGUAUAAUAGUACAAUAUUCUUAAUGUUAUAAACUUUUCUCUACUGUACAGAAAUAUAUCUUAUAAUUAUAUAUCACUUUACAGUAUUUCAAAAUACUUCCACAUACAUUAUCUCCUUAGAGAUAUGAAAGCAUAAAAUAUUAGAAAUGUGCUAGACUAAGUGAUAUAACAUCUAUUUGCCAUGAAAUGCAAUUUAAUAUUUUAUCAAUAGCCAAUGUUUCUAUCCUCACAGUCCAAGGUACAAUGAUAAAGUCUAUAUAUUUGCAAAGAUUCAAUAAUUUUUCUAGCUAUUUGGCCAUGCUUCACUGCAUUUUUUAAAACAACUUCUCAAUAAUUUUCUGCAAGCAUAUGGUAGUUUUUUAAAAAUACAAAACAUCAGAGUCAAACCCAGAGGGCUGUUUCAUAUCGAAGACCCACAUAAAUACAUAUCUAUAGAUCUUAUUUAAAAAACUAUUAAUUGUACAAAGUAUUCUUUAUAGAAAAAAAUGCCAAACACUCAUAACUUUUAUCUGCAAAAGGAAUGACAUCCCCUUACUUGUUCUUCACUGAAGAAUUCUCUCAUAAAUUAUUUGCAGAUUAAAUGGAGGAAUCAUUCUAUUAUAUAUGAAUAUGCAUUAAAAAAUGACAUGAAGGGACAAGGCCAAUGUUUUAAAUGGAAGCCAGGCAAUUUUCUCCCUUGAAACUAAAUAUUCUCAAAUUAAUUUGCACAAUAUAAUCAAACCCCUAGUUAGGAAUAAUAUUCUAAGAGUUAAAUUGUUGAAUGAAAUGUUUUUACUUGUAAGGGCUCUGAUAUACUACAGUUCCUAAGUCAUUCAGAUUAUAACCAUUUAUUUUAGUCUUUGUCCAUUGUUUGUCAAUAUUUUGAUAUCUGGUCACAACUUUUUAAUAUUAUGCACUUAGAAAGCAGGCUGAACACUUUAUCAUGUAUUCAAAAUUGGUAAGAUAUUUUGAAUUAAUCAUGCUCCUACAAUUUGGCUCAAUGUGACAACUACUCUCACCAUCUAACCUGGAAAACUGUUUAUUAAACUCUACAGUGGCCGUGCUACAAGCUCCACAUUAAGACGGCCCAUACAAAAAAAAAAAAAAAAUUUGAAAUGCAAAAGCAGAAUUGUUUCCCCAAAUCUUAAUACUGAUUUCACAAAACAACAGAAAGCAAAAAUUAGGAUAUUAUGGGAACCAAAAAUGAGAAAAUAGUCUAUAUUAAUUGGAAUAUGAUAUACAACUUAGUUACUAAUAUUCAUACUUAAAAAGUCAAGUUUGAGCAACCGUGGUAUUUCAUGUAAACUUCAAAGCAAUAAAAUCAUAUUUCUAAAGACAUACUAUUGAUAGAUUUUCUAAAAAUCCUCUGCUGGAAAUCCCCAAUCAUAAAGGUAACAGAAGAUGGUAUGAUAGGACUCACAAACAGGACAUAGUAAAAAUUCUCUGGGGAUUAAAGUGAAUCUAAAAACCCAAGAGAUACACAAAAGCUAGUUCCACUCCAAAUGAAAGUGAAAUUUUUUUCUAUUAAUUGCUUUAACUGUAUUUGUAUGUAUGCUUUGAAGUUCUCACCACAGAGUUUCUGAUUAUUUUCUGAUGUGUAAUAUUAAUUACACAUCAAUUAAUAUUAGCAAGUAGUACAAGAAAUAAAACUACUUGUUCUAACCAAUAUUAACACAUUAAGUGUCUACUAAAACUUAGUGUGGAUAAGGAAUUUGAUGAAGGGGAUCCCUGGGUGGCUCAGCGGUUUAGCACCUGCCUCUGGCGCAGGGCGCGAUCCUGGAGUCCUGGGAUCAAGUCCCACGUCAGGCUCCUGGCAUGGAGCCUGCUUCUCCCUCCUCCUGUGUCUCUGCCUCUCUCUCUCUCUCUCUCUCUCUCUCUCUCUAUCAUAAAUAAAGAAAUAAAUCUUUAAAAAAAAAGGAAUUUGAUGAAGAUAUGGAAUUUCAAAUCUAUUCUCAAUUUCAAGGUUUGACAACUUAGAGAUACAUCAUAUGUUUUCUUUUUUAAAGAUACUCUGGACAAAGCAAGAUUAUUAAUUUCAUAGCCCAAAGAACACUAAGAUAGUCAAGGCUUUUAGAAACCACUGCUUUGCUGCCAGGUAAGAAGCAGGCCAUUUAAAAAUGAGUAAUUUUUUUCCUUAUUUUUUAAUUCUUUAGUCAUUUGCAUUCAGAAACAAGCACCAAAUUUCUAUGAGACAGCCAUAAAAGCAAAAUACUUUCCUUGGACUUUUGCAUUGUAAUUUGUUUUUAAGCAUUUAACACAGAAAAACAUUUUCAUUACUUUAAAAAAGCAAAUUCUUGAUAUCGUACAG
rnacentral:lncRNA from 1 species